rnacentral:rRNA from 1 species
GACGAACGCUGGCGGCGUGCUUAACACAUGCAAGUCGAACGGAAAGGCCCCCAUCUUGGUGGGGGUGCUCGAGUGGCGAACGGGUGAGUAACACGUGGGUGAUCUGCCCUGUACUUCGGGAUAAGCUCGGGAAACUGGGUCUAAUACCGGAUAGGACCAUGGUUUAGUGUCUCAUGGUGGAAAGAUUAUUGUUUUGGUGCAGGAUGAGCUCGGGGCCUAUCAGCUGGUUGGUGGGGUAAUGGCCUACCAAGGCGUCGACGGGUAGCCGGCCAGAGAGGGUGGACGGCCACGUUGGGAGAGACGGACCACACAGCCACGGGAGGGAGGCGGCGGGGGGGAAUAUUGCACAAUGGGCGCAAGCCGGAGGCACCGAGGCCGCGUGGGGGAGGUCGGCCUUCGGGUAGUCAACUCCUUUCGUUAGGAACGAAGCUGCACUUUUUUUGGCUGUGGUGACGGUACCUUUGUUAAGAAGCACCGGCUAACUACGUG